GAAGAAGUAAGCACCAGUUCUGUCAGGCAUGAUCUGGUCCGAAGACCGGUUUGCGUUUUUGCGCAAACGCGGCUCUUCGGUCAGGAUCGUGCUUCUCGGGGACGCCGCCACCCGACAACCAUUGCUUCGACAAGGCUUCCGGAUUCGCUGUUACGCCAUUCGCCGUUGACGCGGCGGCACGCAAAGGGAAGCUGAUAGGUCCCGCUCUUGUCCUCGCAUAAAACCUGAACCGCCUCAUCGGGAGACGGUUCGCCGUUGCCGUCAAAUUCUGCAAGUCUUU
rnacentral:misc_RNA from 1 species